UGGGUAGUCCGCACGAGCGCACCUUGUUCGCUGUUGCCAUCAGUUCGGCUGGGCACUCUGCGAAGACUGCCGGUGAUAAACCGGAGGAAGGUGGGGAUGACGUCAAGUCAGCAUGGCCUUUAUGUCCAGGGCUACUCACGUGCUACAAUGGUCGGUACAGAGGGUCGCGAAGCCGCGAGGUGGAGCCAAUCCCACAAAGCCGAUCUCAGUUCGGAUUGGAGUCUGCAAUUCGACUCCAUGAAGGUGGAAUCGCUAGUAAUCGCGGAUCAGCAUGCCGCGGUGAAUACGUUCCCGGGCCUUGUACACACCGCCCGUCACAUCACGAAAGCUGGUUGAACCAGAAGCCGGUGACCCAACCUUCGGGAGGGAGCCGUCCAAGGUUUGGCUGGUGAUUGGGGUGAAGUCGUAACAAGGUAGCCGUAGGGGAACCUGCGGCUGGAUCACCUCCUUUCU
rnacentral:rRNA from 1 species